UACGGAGGGGGCUAGCGUUGUUCGGAAUUACUGGGCGUAAAGCGCACGUAGGCGGCUUUGUAAGUUAGAGGUGAAAGCCCAGGGCUUAACCCUGGAAUUGCCUUUAAGACUGCAUCGCUAGAAUCGUGGAGAGGUGAGUGGAAUUCCGAGUGUAGAGGUGAAAUUCGUAGAUAUUGGGAAGAAUACCCGUGGCGAAGGCGGCCAACUGGACCGACAUUGACGCUGAGGCGCGAAAGCGUGGGGAUCAAACAGG
rnacentral:rRNA from 1 species